rnacentral:rRNA from 1 species
UGGGCAACCUGCCCCUCUCUCUGGGAUAACCCCGGGAAACCGGAGCUAAUACCGGAUACUCCGGCUGGAUCGCAUGGUCCGGCCGGGAAAGGUCCGCCGGAGAGGGAUGGGCCCGCGGCCUAUCAGCUUGUUGGUGAGGUAAUGGCUCACCAAGGCGACGACGGGUAGCCGGCCUGAGAGGGUGACCGGCCACACUGGGACUGAGACACGGCCCAGACUCCUACGGGAGCA